AAAAUUAACCUCCAGCGAAAGCACUCUGUCCUCACAAAAGACUACCCUUCAAGAAAGAUUGGCGAAAAAACGGAUUCAGAAGCUGAGAGCAUUGCCGACUGCAAACAAGGAAGUAACGCUACAUGACCGACAGAGGUAGGAGAGAUUACCUACUUCAAGUUCCGACUCGAAAAUUGCACCUCGUGUUACCAGUUGUAAGAGCAGUCGCCGUCAUGAACCCUCUCUCACGUCGGAAUGAUCGAAUCCUCCACAACAGAGGGGGCGCAUCUGGCGUAGAUAUGCUGGAAGAGCAGAACUACUGCGACGCGGGUUUUCGGUGGGUCCCACUAGCUCCUUGCCGCUUCUUGGUCUCUGGUCCGAUGGAGAUAGUGAUGACGGUCAUUGCGUCUACUACGCUGGCCUUUUGGUAAACUGCAUGCCUCCGUUUUCAAACUCCAGGGUUGAGUCCACGCAUCUGACCGUGUGACUCUGCCUGCUUUCCACUCUGCCUCUCCUACAACGCAUAACCCAGAUUCUCCGGGAUGAGAGAGUGUUGUUGUGUCUGGGACCUCCCUCCAUGCCGCAUAUUUUUAUCUGCUGUGGGCGACCCCCGUCGGAUCCGGUGCAAACAGACAUGCCCUCUGAAGUCAAAGCCAAUACAGUGAUGAUGGUACACUCCAUGUAUUAGUGGGUAUAUAUAUAUAUAUAUAUAUAUAUAUAUAUAAGGUUUUUCAGUUAUAUACUUAUGUAUCCUUUUGUGUGCUUUACAUUGUGAGAACCAGGGUCCGAGAUUUUUCAGAACUUCCACAUCUUGCAUUACUGUGGGGUUUUGGGUGACAACUUCUGGGGUUGUACAUUUGGUGUCUGGCUGCUGUAACCCUCUCUCACAGCUAGAUAAGAGUACUUGGACUUGGCUAACUGACACCUACUGUUCACCAAACUCAGUUAGAAUGCAUUCCUGAUAAUGUACAAGUCAGUAGCGGUAAACUGAGGGUAUAUAGAUAAAUUCCAUAAUGUUUAAUGCUAUCUCCCAAGCAGUUGAAAUUGUAACAACAGAAAAAUAAAUAAACUUUUUCAUCCAGCGUCCACGCAUACAACAAAUGCAA
rnacentral:lncRNA from 1 species